GACAGAGGGGGCAAGCGUUGCUCGGAAUUACUGGGCGUAAAGGGCGCGUAGGCGGGAUGGCAAGUCGGUCGUGAAAUCCCUCGGCUCAACUGAGGAUCGUCGAUCGAUACUGCCGUUCUUGAGGAUUGCAGAGGAGACUGGAAUUCCCGGUGUAGCGGUGAAAUGUGUAGAGAUCGGGAGGAACACCGGUGGCGAAGGCAGCUUGCUACACAAUCAUUGGCACUGAGGCACGAAAGCGUGGGGAUCAAACAGG
rnacentral:rRNA from 1 species